UAUACCGCAUGCGCCGUCGUACUCGGUUCUCCGCGGUCCGCCGUUCCCGUCUAUCGCCUCCACCCUUUUCUUCCACCUCGCUGCGUCCCUCUCCGUCGCCAGCCCGAAGCCUGAAGCCCUUCUUCGCCUCUUCGCCUCCCCCGCUCCUCAGACACUGUGGCUCUGUUAUUUGGGGCUUGUCUCGCUUUCUCCCAUGGCGGCGUACGAGAGUGAUGGCGGCGGGAUCGGGGGCAAGUUCCGGAAGCGCCUCUUCCGGCCGGCCCCCGCGACGCCGUACGAUCGGCCCCAGGCGGCGGCACGCCCCGCCCAGCCGCUUCCGGCGGAGCCGCGGGGGAACGGGUGGCUCUCCAGGCUCGUGGACCCCGCGACCCGGAUCAUCUCCUGGAGCGCAUCCCGCCUCUUCCCCUCCUCCGUCUUCCAGAAGCGGCUUGGCGCCCCUCCUGCCGCGCCGCCAGAUGCAAAUCAAAGACCAGUGGAGGAAGUCAUCAAAGAACCGUCUACUAAUUCAUUACACGAAGUGCAAGAACAUCUCAGUGAUGGAAAAAAUGCAGUGAAUAGUUCCAAUGCUGGCAGCGCUCAACAUGGAACCAGUUCUCAUGUCGAUGGAGUUUUUGAACUCGAGCAACUACUGAAGCAGAAAACUUUUACAAGGACUGAGUUUGAUCACUUGACCCAGUUAUUACAUUCAAGAAUUGUGGAACCAAAUGCACGAGAAGUGGCUGUGAAUUCUGAGAAUAUAGAGAUAACAAAUGUUCGAGGUCAAACUAAUAAUGCUGUUGAAGUAAAUGUAUUACAACCAGCAUCAAGUUAUGAAAUAGAAAUGCCAACUAUUCCAGGUGAAGCAAAUAAGAAGCAGCAGUGUGCUAAUGAUGUAUCACAACCAAUGUCAAGUUUCAAUAAUAAGGAUAAAAGAGUUGCUUCAGAACAAGAAAGAAGAGAGGUAUUUUCUGGGUUACAUGAAAUUGUUACAGUUCCUGCACCUGGCCUGGCUAGUACCAAGGAAGAAGCUGCCUCGUCAACAAAAAUUGCUAAGACACAUAUGAGUUCUAGGUUUUUUAAAUCUUCUGCAUCUCUAAGCGUGCAAAAUAAAUUAUUUCGGGACGAUAGAGCAAUGCCAAUUGGAACACCGUAUGCAAGGAAACCAUCCAAUCAUUCGUUGGUAUUGAGAACUGCAGUCCGCAAUUCUGAACCUGUUGAAACUAGACGAAACAGCUUGUUGAGUUCAGGAAUUUAUGGCAGAUCAGCAAUAUAUAAAAUGUCUCGUUCUCCAUACUUCAAGCCCUGUUCAAUGGCUAACUUAGGGGGUGACAGAUCUUCGCUGGAUGACUAUGGUUGCCCCUCUAUGUCUGAAAACAUUACACACUCUGGUGGCAGACAGACGUUUAAACGAGGGAGAUCACUUUUAGAGGAUGAUAUCGGAUCAUCUGGUCCCACCCGUAGGACACAUCAGAAGUCCAACUUGAUGUCUCCAUUAGCAAGUCCAUACUUGUCGCGGGGGAAUUCUCUGCCUUCUUCAUCAACUCGUGUUGAUCAAGGUUCUGUAACUUUAAACCAAAAGCUUCUCCAUUUGAAUGAACAAGAGAAUGACCAUAGUGAGUUUCAAACUGUAGAAAAUAGUGGGGUUCCUUCUGUUCCACUUCCUCCCCAGUCCAGUGAGAUGGCUAGGAAAAUUCUACAGCAACCUGAUAAACUGGUGACUUCUCCAAAAGGGCAAUCCUCUAAUCUGAAAAUUGACAUGGAUGAAUCACCAUUUCUGUUGACUCAUAACAUGCUUCAUGGACAAGCUCUUAAAAGCAUGGAGGAAAUUGAUAUGUCUAAGUUUUUGAAUGUGCAAAAAAAUGGCAGUUUGAAAUCUCCCAGUGAUUCACACCAAAAAAGUUUUGGAAAUACUAUUUCUCAGAAGCAAGACAAGUCUGAAGAAAAUGGCUCUACCAAGAGUGCUGUUAAAGGGGUUCGAUUUGCAUACACAAACUCUGUUCUCGAGAAACCUAAUAACGUAUCUGGCAGAGAGGCCAAACCUAGUACGACAACUGCUCAUUUUGUUGUUUCAGGUGCUGCUACAACUACCUCACAAAAAAAACCAUCAUUCCAGAUGAGUGCACCCGAGGAUCUUGUCGAGUUGGAUGAUGAUAGCGAUGAUAUAAAGGAUUCUCCAAGUACAGCUACUAUUGUUGGUAAUAAACCUUUGUUGAUAUCGAAGUGUGAGAUUACACACGAAAAGCCUAAAUUGGAGAAAUCUAUGAAAUCUUCCUCUAAUAAUAUUUGUACAUCCAUGGGGGUAUCGGAUGGGGAUUCCACCAAGAUAUCCAAUGGGCUUGGUAUGGAAAAAAUGAAUGGAUUUUUUUUCUCUGCUGCACCUGCUUCAACCAUUUCAUCUCAAGUACCAUUAAUGGUUUCUAAUUUCACAACAUCGCUUAUGAAAUCAGCCCCACAGUGUGAGGAAACCCCUGCUCCUACAUUUAAAGCUGAUUUGGUGGAGCUUGCAUCUGGAUCUGCUUCAACUGCUGCUGGUGCUAGUGGCCUUGGUUUCAGUAAUGCCACGACAGCAACUGUAUUAGAAGGCUCAAAAGGUGAAGUUGUCCAAACUUCAAAAGGUGGGGACCUAUUCAAUGCAUUUGGGAAUGCUGCAUUGCCGACCUUAUCUGGUUUUGGAGCUUUUAGGACAUCUGAACUAAAUGAUGGCAUCACUUCAUCCACUGCCAUAUCUUCAGCUCUUGUUGCUCUGUCCAUGACAUUGGGUGCUUCAUUCGCACCAGGUUUCUCCACCAGCACCAGCAUGGCACCUAAUUCUUCAGCUACCAUCUCAUCUGAUGCGCCUAUAUUUUCCACAAUCCCCUCCUUCCAGUUUGGUGCUAGUGGCUCUUUUGGUGCUUCUAAUGCAGUAACUUCAUCAACAGAAAAAUCUGAGUCUACCAAUUUGGUGGGAGAGUCUGUCAAGUCAUCUGUUUUCAGUGUAAGCAGCUCUGCUCCUCUACUAGGUACAUCUGCUGCAUUUUCAAGCACCAGAAGCAACAGCUCAGCCGUUCUGACACCAUCAAUAUUCGCAAGCACGAGCAAUGGCUCCUCUGCUCUGCCAGCGCCAGCAUUAUUUAGUACAGCCACUGGUGGUUCUUCUGCUAUGUCAUUGUCGUCAGGUUUCUCCACAAGCACCAGCAUGGCACCUAGUUCUGCAGCUACCAUCUCAUCUGCUGCACCUAUACUUUCCACAAUCCCCUCGUUCCAGUUUGGUGCUAGUGGCUCUUUUGGUGGUGCUAGCACAGUAACUUCAUCAACAGAAAAAUCUGAUUCUACCAAUUUGGUGGGAGAGCCUGUCAAGUCAUCUGCUUUCAGUGUAAGCAGCUCUGCUCCUCUAGGUACAUCUGCGGCAUUAUCAAACACCAGAAGCAACAGCUCAGCUGUUCUGACACCAUCAAUAUUUGCAAGCACAAGCAAUAGCUCCUCUGCUCUGCCAGCACCAGCAUUAUUUAGUACAGCCACUGGUUCUUCUGCUGUGUCAAUGUUGCCAGGUUUCUCAACUUCAUCCAAUGGAUUCAGUGGUUUUGGUUCAUCACCACAAUCUGGUGGUGCCAAUUCAUUGUUUUCAAGUAACAGUUCUCAGAACUUGACAGUGUUUGGCACAACAGCAGAAUCUAGUUUCAGCACUCAGCCAGCACAGUCUGGAACUGGGAUGUCACAUGCUUUGCCAAUAUCAUCAUCUAAUACCUUCGGUUCAUCAAUUCCUACGACAAUGUUUGGUCUAAGUGGCACUUCCUCAUCUGGUUCUGCAAGCUCAUCAUUUGGUUUCUCAACGCCUGGUUUGGAGCCUCUUGGUUCAAGUUCUGGCUUCUCUUUCCCGACUGCUACUGGGUCAUCUUCCAGUUCUGGCAGUAGUAGUACCAUUCCACCGGCAAAGAGUUUUGUUUCAAGUACUGGGUUGUCCACCAUUUCAACUUUAAGUGCUGGCGACAGCAGCAGCUCCCAUGUAUGGUCUACGCCUUUUGGUUCAAGUGGCUUUUCCUUUGCAGCAAGUGCUAUUUCAUCAGCCAAUUCCAGUGGAAAUUUAUCCCUUGUAGCAGGUACAGGCACUGGCCUGUUCAAGUCCACUUCACAUUCAGCCCAGUCAUCACCUUCUGGCUCCAUUUUUGCCUCAACCACUUUUUCACCUGCUACAGGGCUUCCAUUUGGGUCAGCUCCCUCUUCAGGGAGUUCACCUUUCAUGUUUGGUUCAUCAUCAGGGUCAGUUUCUUCAUUCACUUCAGUUGGAAGCACAACUUCACUGAUUUCUCUUGUGCAGCCUGUGUUUGGAGCACCAAAUCAGACAAGUGGUUUGAAUUCAGGUUCACCUGGAAAUGACCAGAUGAAUGUUGAGGAUAGUAUGGCUGAUGAUUCUGUCCAGUCUUCGGUUCUUCCGGCAGUGAAAUUUGGACAACCAACAAAUACACCUGCAUCUCCUAACUUUGUGUUCGGUUCCCCAGCUACUCCUGGUGGGACAACAACCUUUCAGUUUGGCAGCCAGCAGAAUAAUUUUAUGCCUCAAAGCCCAUCUCCAUUUCAACCAGCUGGAAAUUUAGAGUUUGCUGCGGGAGGAAGCUUCUCUUUGGGAAGUAGUGGUGGUGGUGACACGUCUGGUCGAAGGACAGUGAAAGUAAGACGAGAUAAGCAUCGGAAAAGGUAGGGGAGGAUUCGAGUUGAUCAAGAUGCAUUUGCGGCACUAGCUUGAUGGCUUUUGUUUAUUAUUUGAUGGCAAAGGAUUUUGAUGUCAAAAGGUAAGUGUUAUUUGUCUCAGAUCAAAGUGCAUGGUCUCUGGAGUCUGGGCGAAUGUUCUCCAGAAUAAUGAUGUCUCGGAGGAACUGUGCUGCUGCAUCAGGAUCAGUCAGUUUGAUGAGAUGUCUGCAACCUAGUUUUUUUGCUUUAGAAGAUCUGUGUGGUUGAUUUCUGUUUGCUUUAGCGAAGCUACAUGUGUCUGCUGGAGUCAGCUGUUGCAAUCACAAGUCGGAAGAGUUCUUUGACAAAUUGCACUUUGAACCAGUUUAUAAAGGGUCGAUGACCGUGUUCAGGUUCCUAGUUCCAAAUUUAAGUGAAAUUGGCCGAGUUUCAAGUUUCUUUGCCAUGUAAAAAGCUGAUAUUGCAACUCUCGACACUAUUCAUUGCAUGUCAUCCUGAUAUAAGGACCUGAAAACUGAUCUAAUGAUGGCAAUUGCUCCUGAUACAAGAUGUGUUGAUGUAUUAUGCCCUAACGUAACCUGAUCUUUUUCCUGAGGUCUUGUAUGGCUCUAAAGUCAGAAAAGCUGUUCUACUCGUCGCAUCAUGUUGGUGGUUUUCAUUUUACAAAGUUUUUGAUAGUAUGUUGGAACAACAACAGUUUCAAGUGAGAAAUGAAGGCAAUAUUGCAAGAAUGUCAAGUGUGCAAAGCUGUAAUCAAUCAUGUUCCAGACACGGAGGUAAUCAAUGGAAUGCUGGCUAGAAGAUGGUGGGCUUUGUUUUAACUUGGUACAAGAGAGCAUCCAUAUCUGGUGAUCUGUUAUAUGGUGUUGUUUUUGCUGCUUUCAACAUAUGUAACAGAUAGUUUGCUGGAAAUGGUGUUUAGAUUCUGGAAUGCUGUGUUCUUUCUAGCUAUUAAUGUUUCAUUUUUUGCUUUGCUUUGUUUUCAUUGUGGAGAACUCAGUAGCUGGUAAUAUUUCUGCAAACAUGAACUUAUUCAUGUACUAUGAGAGUUUCCUGUGUCCUAAGAGAUGCACAAAAGCAGUGAUAAUAGCUUCAGUUUCAGUUCA